rnacentral:rRNA from 1 species
GAUGAACGCUGGCGGCGUGCCUAAUACAUGCAAGUCGAGCGAACGGACGAGAAGCUUGCUUCUCUGAUGUUAGCGGCGGACGGGUGAGUAACACGUGGAUAACCUACCUAUAAGACUGGGAUAAUUUCGGGAAACCGGAGCUAAUACCGGCUGAUAUUUUGUACCGCAUGGUUCAAAAGUGAAAGACGGUCUUGCUGUCACUUAUAGAUGGAUCCGCGCUGCAUUAGCUAGUUGGUAAGGUAACGGCUUACCAAGGCAACGAUGCAUAGCCGACCUGAGAGGAUGAUCAGCCACACUGGAACUGAGACACGGUCCAGACUCCUACGGGAGGCAGCAGUAGGGAAUCUUCCGCAAUGGGCGAAAGCCUGACGGAGCAACGCCGCGUGAGUGAUGAAGGUCUUCGGAUCGUAAAACUCUGUUAUUAGGGAAGAACAUAUGUGGAAGUAACUGUGCACAUCUUGACGGUACCUAAUCAGAAAGCCACGGCUAACUACGUG